GUGAAUGGGGGAAAAGCCCAGCGCUAAAUCCUCUAGCUUAUGGCUAGUUGGAAAUGUAGCGUAUAGGUUUGGCCAAAUUUCAGGUCGUACACUACAUAAAACCCAAAGUUUACCUUGAACGGGACCACGAUCCAUAGAAGGUGUCAGACCUGUACGGGUUGUGUUUGUGUACGAUUGGUCAUACUUUAGAGUCGGGUUGCCUGAGAUCGCAGCCCAAAUUGGGUGGUAGACUUCAUCUAAGGCUAAAUAUGGCCACGAGACCGAUAGCGAACAAGUACCGUGAGGGAAAGUUGCAAAGAACUUUGAAGAGAGAGUUCAAGAGGGCGUGAAACCGCUGAGAAUGAAGCGGAUAGAGUCGACGAAACUUAAUCAGUAUUCAACCAAUACGUUAAACGGUUUCACACACGUGCGUCAUGUUAUGCAAAUUUCGUGACGUUCAUCGUGCGUGCAUUAACUGUAUAAUGUGAAUUUUGGCGUAUUUACUGAUUGUAUGCAUUGAGAGCUUCGUAUUAUUAGCGCACGAAGAAACUCAACCAAUAGAGGCUUGUUGGAUUAGRAAAGCGUUAAAAACUUUUC
rnacentral:rRNA from 1 species